UACGUAGGGUGCGAGCGUUGUCCGGAAUUAUUGGGCGUAAAGAGCUUGUAGGCGGUUUGUCGCGUCUGCUGUGAAAAUCCGGGGCUCAACCCCGGACUUGCAGUGGGUACGGGCAGGCUAGAGUGUGGUAGGGGAGACUGGAAUUCCUGGUGUAGCGGUGAAAUGCGCAGAUAUCAGGAGGAACACCGGUGGCGAAGGCGGGUCUCUGGGCCGAUAUCGACGCUGGAGGAGCGAAAGCGUGGGGAGCGAACAGG
rnacentral:rRNA from 1 species